rnacentral:rRNA from 1 species
ACUCCUACGGGAGGCAUCAGUGGGGAAUAUUGGACAAUGGGGGAACCCGUGAUCCAGCCAUGCCGCGUGUGUGAAGAAGGCCUUAUGGUUGUAAAGACACUUUAAGCGAGGAGGAGGCUCUCUUGGUUAAUACCCAAGAUGAGUGGACGUUACUCGCAGAAUAAGCACCGGCUAACUCUGUGCCAGCAGCCGCGGUAAUACAGAGGGUGCGAGCGUUAAUCGGAUUUACUGGGCGUAAAGCGCAUGCAGGCGGCCUGUUAAGUCAGAUGUGAAAGCCCGGGGCUUAACCUCGGAAUUGCAUUUGAAACUGGCAGGCUAGAGUCUUGUAGAGGGGGUAGGAAUUUCAGGUGUAGCGGUGAAAUGCGUAGAGAUCUGAAGGAAUACCAGUGGCGAAGGCGGCCCCUCGGACAAAGACUGACGCUCAGAUGCGAAAGCGUGGGAGCAAACAGGAUUAGAUACCCCGUGUAGGAUAGCG